UACAGAGGUCUCAAGCGUUGUUCGGAUUCAUUGGGCGUAAAGGGUGCGUAGGCGGCGCGGUAAGUCGGGUGUGAAAUUUCGAGGCUUAACUUCGAAACUGCAUUCGAUACUGCCGUGCUUGAGGACUGGAGAGGAGACUGGAAUUUACGGUGUAGCGGUGAAAUGCGUAGAUAUCGUAAGGAAGACCAGUGGCGAAGGCGAGUCUCUGGACAGUUACUGACACUGAGGCACGAAGGCCAGGGGAGCAAACGGG
rnacentral:rRNA from 1 species